rnacentral:rRNA from 1 species
UAAAACUUUCAACAACGGACCUCUUGGCUCUCGCAUCGAUGAAGAACGCAGCGAAUUGCGAUAAGUAAUGUGAAUUGCAGAAUUCAGUGAAUCAUCGAAUCUUUGAACGCAGCUUGCGCUCUCUGGUAUUCCGGAGAGCAUGCCUGUUUCAGUGUCAU